AGAUGGCGACCGGCGCACGGGUGAGUAACACGUAUCCAACCUGCCGAUAACUCGGGGAUAGCCUUUCGAAAGAAAGAUUAAUACCCGAUGGUAUAAUCAGACCGCAUGGUUUGAUUAUUAAAGAAUUUCGGUUAUCGAUGGGGAUGCGUUCCAUUAGGCAGUUGGUGAGGUAACGGCUCACCAAACCUUCGAUGGAUAGGGGUUCUGAGAGGAAGGUCCCCCACAUUGGAACUAAGACACGGUCCAA
rnacentral:rRNA from 1 species